rnacentral:rRNA from 1 species
UACGUAGGGUGCAAGCGUUGUCCGGAAUUAUUGGGCGUAAAGAGCUCGUAGGCGGCUCAUUGCGUCAACCGUGAAAACCAGCAGCUCAACUGUUGGCUUGCGGUUGAUACGGGUGGGCUGGAGUUCGGUAGGGGAGACUGGAAUUCCUGGUGUAGCGGUGAAAUGCGCAGAUAUCAGGAGGAACACCGGUGGCGAAGGCGGGUCUCUGGGCCGAUACUGACGCUGAGGAGCGAAAGCGUGGGGAGCGAACAGG